AUGGCACCCCGUCGUGUCGAGUUCAUCGCCGCUUGCGACCUCACACCUACCUGGGCGGACUUUGAAGCUGCCAAGGCCGAAUGGGCGGUACAGCAAGAGGCGGCCAAAGCCGCACAAAGGGAGCGGAAAAGGCAGAAGCACUCAAGAAAAGAGAGGCCCGCCGCCGCAAGAAAGAAGAGGACGCACGCGCUGCUGCGGAGAGGUCGGCGGAGAUCCAAGCACAGUGGGGUGUCGCUGACAAAGCCGGGAAGGAGAACGACGGCGUCUGGCCAGCAUGUGAGAAGUAGCAGUACUAGUAGUUAG
rnacentral:rRNA from 1 species